UAGGGAAUCUUCGGCAAUGGGGGGAACCCUGACCGAGCAACGCCGCGUGAGUGAAGAAGGUUUUCGGAUCGUAAAGCUCUGUUGUUAAGGAAGAACGAGUGUGAGAAUGGAAAGUUCAUGCUGUGACGGUACUUAACCAGAAAGGGACGGCUAACUACGCGCCAGCAGCCGCGGUAAUACGUAGGUCCCGAGCGUUGUCCGGAUUUAUUGGGCGUAAAGCGAGCGCAGGCGGUUAGAAAAGUCUGAAGUGAAAGGCAGUGGCUCAACCAUUGUAGGCUUUGGAAACUGUUUAACUUGAGUGCAGAAGGGGAGGGUGGAAUUCCAUGUGUAGCGGUGAAAUGCGUAGAUAUAUGGAGGAACACCGGUGGCGAAAGCGGCUCUCUGGUCUGUAACUGACGCGGAGGCUCGAAAGCGUGGGGAGCGAACAGG
rnacentral:rRNA from 1 species